UCCCUGGUGGCUCAGAUGGUAAAGAAUCUGCCUGCAAUGCAGAAGACCUAGGUUUGAUCCCUGGGUUGGGAA
rnacentral:tRNA from 1 species